GUUGUUCGGAAUUACUGGGCGUAAAGAGUGUGUAGGCGGUGCUCUAAGUUCGGGGUGAAAUCUCCUGGCUCAACUGGGAGGGUGCGCCGGAAACUGGAGUGCUUGAGCGUGGGAGAGGAAAGCGGAAUUCCUGGUGUAGCGGUGAAAUGCGUAGAUAUCAGGAGGAACACCUGUGGUGUAGACGGCUUUCUGGACCAUAGCUGACGCUGAGACACGAAAGCGUGGGUAGCAAACAGG
rnacentral:rRNA from 1 species